CUGUAAUGAGGGGACAGGUUGCAUCUUGCUUUUGAAAUCUGGGGGAUUAGAAUCAUUUGCGUAACAUGGGCAGCUUGACCUCCCUGUAAGUAGGGUUUGAGUCUCCGAGGCCCUUUGGCUGCUUAGUGAGUGUGACUGCCCUGCAAUCAGGGUGCAAGUCACCUCCCCCUAAAUGUGGGGGGGGCAUUGAGCUCUUUGUUAAACUGAGCAAUGUGACCGCCCUGUAACUAGGGCCCGGGUCUCUGCCCACUUGCUCAUUUGGCUUUACGCCAUGCUCUGCCCCAUUAGUCAGCGUGACCCUCUAGUCUCUUGGCACUAGGCCAAAUGCAGCCACUGCCCCGAAUGAGCACCCUGUAAACAGGGUACAGGUCUCAUCAGCUACUAUUUAUGGUGCCCCCAUGAGACUGUGUCCAGAGUACCGGCCCUUUAAGCAGCGUUUGCAACGUGCCUGGAAUUCUGCAGCCAAGUCUCCUGCUUUCUCCUCCCUUCUUGGACGCUUGGAGACCUGACAUGCUAUUGGUGGCCUCAUGAAGCAGAAGUGGAGAAGAAGGAAGUGUCAGGAAUGCCACAGACAGAGGAGAAAAGAAGAUGGAGGAAAAGGAAAGGAACUCUGGGCACAGUACCCUCCCUGAAAUCAGCCUCAGGUCAUGUAAUUAGACUGUAUGGGAAUCUCGAGCCUUUUAAUACCUUGAGCAGCGUGACCACCCUGUAAGCUGGGUCCCGGUCUGUCCCCUUUGGACAUUCUGCUCCGUCAUCUGGCUAGUGUGAGUGACUGUCCUGUAAUGAGGGUGCCAGUCACCUCCCCCUAAAUGUGGAGGGGCAUUGAGCUCUUUCUUUAAUUGAGCAUUGUGACCGCCCUGUAACUAGGGUCCGGGUUUCUGCCCACUUGCUCAUUUGGCAUUACGCCGUGCUCUGCCCCACUAGUCAGCGUGACAACCCUGUAAUUAGGGUCCAUGUCACAAGGCUCUCCAGAAUGGGACUUAUCGAGCUCUUUGGUACUUUGACAGCUGGACCUUCCUGUAAUUCAGGUUAUGGUCUCUCCUCUUUGGCUAAUGCCAGCGACCACCCUGUAAUGAGGGGACAGGUUGCAUCUUGCUUUUGAAAUCUGGGGGAUUAGAAUCAUUUGCGUAACAUGGGCAGCUUGACCUCCCGGUAAGUAGGGUUUGUGUCUCUGAGGCCCUUUGGCUGCUUAGUGAGUGUGACUGCCCUGCAAUCAGGGUGCAUGUCACCUCCCCCUAAAUGUGGGGGGGCAUUGAGCUCUUUGUUAAACUGAGCAAUGUGACCGCCCUGUAACUAGGGCCCGGGUCUCUGCCCACUUGCUCAUUUGGCUUUACGCCAUGCUCUGCCCCAUUAGUCAGCGUGACAACACUGUAAUUAGGGUCCAUGUCACAAGGCUCUCCAGAAUGGGACAUAUCGAGCUCUUUGGUACUUUGACAGCUGGACCUUCCUGUAAUUCAGGUUAUGGUCUCUCCUCUUUGGCUAAUGCCAGCGACCACCCUGUAAUGAGGGGACAGGUUGCAUCUUGCUUUUGAAAUCUGGGGGAUUAGAAUCAUUUGCGUAACAUGGGCAGCUUGACCUCCCUGUAAGUAGGGUUUGAGUCUCCGAGGCCCUUUGGCUGCUUAGUGAGUGUGACUGCCCUGCAAUCAGGGUGCAAGUCACCUCCCCCUAAAUGUGGGGGGGGCAUUGAGCUCUUUGUUAAACUGAGCAAUGUGACCGCCCUGUAACUAGGGCCCGGGUCUCUGCCCACUUGCUCAUUUGGCUUUACGCCAUGCUCUGCCCCAUUAGUCAGCGUGACCCUCUAGUCUCUUGGCACUAGGCCAAAUGCAGCCACUGCCCCGAAUGAGCACCCUGUAAACAGGGUACAGGUCUCAUCAGCUACUAUUUAUGGUGCCCCCAUGAGACUGUGUCCAGAGUACCGGCCCUUUAAGCAGCGUUUGCAACGUGCCUGGAAUUCUGCAGCCAAGUCUCCUGCUUUCUCCUCCCUUCUUGGACGCUUGGAGACCUGACAUGCUAUUGGUGGCCUCAUGAAGCAGAAGUGGAGAAGAAGGAAGUGUCAGGAAUGCCACAGACAGAGGAGAAAAGAAGAUGGAGGAAAAGGAAAGGAACUCUGGGCACAGUACCCUCCCUGAAAUCAGCCUCAGGUCAUGUAAUUAGACUGUAUGGGAAUCUCGAGCCUUUUAAUACCUUGAGCAGCGUGACCACCCUGUAAGCUGGGUCCCGGUCUGUCCCCUUUGGACAUUCUGCUCCGUCAUCUGGCUAGUGUGAGUGACUGUCCUGUAAUGAGGGUGCCAGUCACCUCCCCCUAAAUGUGGAGGGGCAUUGAGCUCUUUCUUUAAUUGAGCAUUUUGACCGCCCUGUAACUAGGGUCCGUGUCUCUGCCCACUUGCUCAUUUGGCAUUACGCCGUGCUCUGCCCCACUAGUCAGCGUGACAACCCUGUAAUUAGGGUCCAUGUCACAAGGCUCUCCAGAAUGGGACAUAUCGAGCUCUUUGGUACUUUGACAGCUGGACCUUCCUCUAAUUCAGGUUAUGGUCUCUCCUCUUUGGCUAAUGCCAGCGACCACCCUGUAAUGAGGGGACAGGUUGCAUCUUGCUUUUGAAAUCUGGGGGAUUAGAAUCAUUUGCGUAACAUGGGCAGCUUGACCUCCCUGUAAGUAGGGUUUGAGUCUCCGAGGCCCUUUGGCUGCUUAGUGAGUGUGACUGCCCUGCAAUCAGGGUGCAAGUCACCUCCCCCUAAAUGUUGGGGGGGGGGCAUUGAGCUCUUUGUUAAACUGAGCAAUGUGACCGCCCUGUAACUAGGGCCCGGGUCUCUGCCCACUUGCUCAUUUGGCUUUACGCCAUGCUCUGCCCCAUUAGUCAGCGUGACCCUCUAGUCUCUUGGCACUAGGCCAAAUGCAGCCACUGCCCCGAAUGAGCACCCUGUAAACAGGGUACAGGUCUCAUCAGCUACUAUUUAUGGUGCCCCCAUGAGACUGUGUCCAGAGUACCGGCCCUUUAAGCAGCGUUUGCAACGUGCCUGGAAUUCUGCAGCCAAGUCUCCUGCUUUCUCCUCCCUUCUUGGAUUCUUGGAGACCUGACAUGCUAUUGGUGGCCUCAUGAAGCAGAAGUGGAGAAGAAGGAAGUGUCAGGAAUGCCACAGACAGAGGAGAAAAGAAGAUGGAGGAAAAGGAAAGGAACUCUGGGCACAGUACCCUCCCUGAAAUCAGCCUCAGGUCAUGUAAUUAGACUGUAUGGGAAUCUCGAGCCUUUUAAUACCUUGAGCAGCGUGACCACCCUGUAAGCUGGGUCCCGGUCUGUCCCCUUUGGACAUUCUGCUCCGUCAUCUGGCUAGUGUGAGUGACUGUCCUGUAAUGAGGGUGCCAGUCACCUCCCCCUAAAUGUGGAGGGGCAUUGAGCUCUUUCUUUAAUUGAGCAUUGUGACCGCCCUGUAACUAGGGUCCGUGUCUCUGCCCACUUGCUCAUUUGGCAUUACGCCGUGCUCUGCCCCACUAGUCAGCGUGACAACCCUGUAAUUAGGGUCCAUGUCACAAGGCUCUCCAGAA